rnacentral:lncRNA from 1 species
AGAGAUUAUUUCUCUUAGUUUAUCCAUUUAACAAAUUGUUUCUUCCUCUAUCAUAGAAGAAUGCCCCUGUAGGGCCUACAUCACUGUCUUCUGUCUACAGACCUCCUCCUUUUGAGGACAUUUUCUCUCAACUCAUUUUGCUGGGAGCUCCUAAAUAUCUCUCAAGGAGUUCG